UGAGUAACACGUAUCCAACCUGCCGUCUACUCUUGGACAGCCUUCUGAAAGGAAGAUUAAUACAAGAUGGCAUCAUGAGUUCACAUGUUCACAUGAUUAAAGGUAUUCCGGUAGACGAUGGGGAUGCGUUCCAUUAGAUAGUAGGCGGGGUAACGGCCCACCUAGUCUUCGAUGGAUAGGGGUUCUGAGAGGAAGGUCCCCCGCAUUGGAACUGAGACACGGUCCAA
rnacentral:rRNA from 1 species